rnacentral:lncRNA from 1 species
UUUUCAACAAACAAAAAAAUAGAAGAAUAUUAUUAUUACAUAAAUAAAGCAAAUCAAAAUAAUUAUAAAAAAUGUUUAAUUUCUUUCCCCUUUCUUUAUCUUCAUUUAAAUAACUCUGGAUAGCUUUCUUCUUCACUUUCUUUCUCAGGUUUUCUUCUUCAAGCUUCAUUCUUUCUCUCUAUUCUCUCAUUUACCUCUCCGCCAAUCAAUGGAGCUAGCUCUGAGCUUGGGCGAUACUUCGAAACCCUUCAAGUUCCUCGAAAAAUCGACCCCCAGAACCUCCACCGCCGAUCACCACCUCGGUUUUUGUAUCGGUGGGGGG